rnacentral:tRNA from 1 species
GCCUUCGUGGUGUAGUGGUCAGCACGCUCGACGUGUAACCGAGAGGUCCGUGGUUCAAAUCCCCGCGAGAGCA